rnacentral:rRNA from 1 species
GAUGAACGCUGGCGGCGUGCUUAACACAUGCAAGUCGAACGGAGAAAGGGUAGCUUGCUAUCUUUUCUUAGUGGCGGACGGGUGAGUAACGCGUGGGUAACCUGCCCUUUGCAGGGGGAUAACAGUGAGAAAUCACUGCUAAUACCGCAUACCAACUUCUUUCGCAUGAAAGAAGUUUGAAAGAUUUAUCGGCAAAGGAUGGACCCGCGUUGGAUUAGCUAGUUGGUGAGAUAACAGCCCACCAAGGCAACGAUCCAUAGCCGGCCUGAGAGGGUGAACGGCCACACUGGGACUGAGACACGGCCCAGACUCCUACGGGAGGCAGCAGUGGGGAAUAUUGCACAAUGGGCGAAAGCCUGAUGCAGCGACGCCGCGUGAAGGAUGAAGGUCUUCGGAUUGUAAACUUCUAUCAGCAGGGAAGAAAGGGCCUAAUGGCCUAUGACGGUACCUGACUAAGAAGCCCCGGCUAACUACGUGCCAGCAGCCGCGGUAAAAGUCACG